rnacentral:rRNA from 1 species
GACGAACGCUGGCGGCGUGCUUAACACAUGCAAGUCGAACGGAAAGGCCCUGCUUUUGUGGGGUGCUCGAGUGGCGAACGGGUGAGUAACACGUGAGUAACCUGCCCUUGACUUUGGGAUAACUUCAGGAAACUGGGGCUAAUACCGGAUAGGAGCUCCUGCUGCAUGGUGGGGGUUGGAAAGUUUCGGCGGUUGGGGAUGGACUCGCGGCUUAUCAGCUUGUUGGUGGGGUAGUGGCUUACCAAGGCUUUGACGGGUAGCCGGCCUGAGAGGGUGACCGGCCACAUUGGGACUGAGAUACGGACCAGAGUCCUACGGGAGGCAGAAGUGGGGAAUAUUGCACAAUGGGCGGAAGCCUGAUGCAGCAACGCCGCGUGCGGGAUGACGGCCUUCGGGUUGUAAACCGCUUUCGCCUGUGACGAAGCGUGAGUGACGGUAAUGGGUAAAGAAGCACCGGCUAACUACGUG